rnacentral:tRNA from 1 species
GCUUGCGUGGCGUAAUGGCAACGCGUCUGACUUCUAAUCAGAAGAUUAUGGGUUCGACCCCCAUCGUGAGUCCCA